rnacentral:tRNA from 1 species
GCCUGGGUGGCUCAGUCGGUUGAGCGUCUGACUUCAGCUCAGGUCAUGAUCUCAUGGUCUGUGAGUUCGAGCCCCACGUCGGGCU